rnacentral:rRNA from 1 species
GUAGGUGGCAAGCGUUGUCCGGAAUUAUUGGGCGUAAAGCGCGCGCAGGUGGUUCUUUAAGUCUGAUGUGAAAGCCCCCGGGCUCGAACCGGGGAGGGUCAUUGGAAACUGGGGAACUUGAGUGCAGGAGAGGAAAGUGGAAUUCCACGUGUAGCGGUGAAAUGCGUAGAUAUGUGGAGGAACACCAGUGGCGAAGGCGACUUUCUGGCCUGUAACUGACACUGAGGCGCGAAAGCGUGGGGAGCAAACAGGAUUAGAUACCCUGGUAGUCCACGCCGUAAACGAUGAGUGCUAAGUGUUGGGGGGUUUCCGCCCCUCAGUGCUGCAGCUAACGCAUUAAGCACUCCGCCUGGGGAGUACGGUCGCAAAGACUG